CCUCUCCAUGUGUACUCCAAAAGACUUUACAGAGGGAAAAAAAUGAAUUUGGAGAGGAUCACCGUAUGAUUGAGGGAGGGACUAAAAGUGAAGCAUAUUAUUCCUUCCUCUGUUGGGACUCGCUGCGAGCAGGUACAGCAUCUCUGCAGUCCAGCACCGCUCAGCUGUCACACUCAGCUGGAUCAGCGCGUCCAUUCUUCACAGCAAAACUUCACAACUCUACGUUCCUGCAUACCACACACUCGCACAGAAAGAGUGUAAACAGUGAGUGAUAGAUAGGUCACUCCACCCUGCCUCGUCUGUUUGUGUGUUGAUCCCUUCAGCAGGCCCUGCGUCUCCUGUCCACAGCGUCACUGAUGAGUUACUACAUGGAUUCAGUUUCUUCCUACCCGGCCCUUCACCCCUGUGACCGUCUGGGCGUAAUGAGACAGAGUGGAGGGGUGGCAGCAGGUCCUCACACCCAGUUUCCUGCUGUGGUUCACCCUCAGCAGCAGUGUUACCCAUCACAGCCCCUUUACAUCCAGGACAUACCCCUGCAGGAGGUCCCCAACGGACAUGACCUGUGCC